CUGGGGGUGGCUCAGUGGUAGAGCACUUACCUAGAAUAUAAGAGGCCCUGGGUUCAACGCCCAGCAGCCUGG
rnacentral:tRNA from 1 species